rnacentral:misc_RNA from 1 species
UCGUAACAAGGUCUCCGUUGGUGAACCAGCGGAGGGAUCAUUUACCAGAGUGCCAUAGGCUCUCCAACCCAUUGUGAACAUACCUAUCGUUCCCUCGGCGGGACCAGCGCGCGGCUGCCUCAGGGCUCCGGGCGUCCGCCGGGGACAGCCAAACUCGAAUUUUGCAGUGAUUCUCUGAGGGGCGAGAGCCCGAAAACAAAAUAAAUCAAAACUUUCAACAACGGAUCUCUUGGCUCUGGCAUCGAUGAAGAACGCAGCGAAAUGCGAUAAGUAAUGUGAAUUGCAGAAUUCAGUGAAUCAUCGAAUCUUUGAACGCACAUUGCGCCCGCCGGCACUCCGGCGGGCAUGCCUGUCCGAGCGUCAUUUCAACCCUCAGGAGCACCCUUCGGGGCGCACCUGGCGCUGGGGAUCAGCGGCCCUCGCGGCCCCUGUCCCCCAAAUUCAGUGGCGGUCGCGCCGCAGCCUCCCCUGCGUAGUAGCACAACCUCGCACCGGAGAGCGGAACGACCACGCCGUGAAACCCCCAACUUUCCAAGGUUGACCUCGGAUCAGGUAGGAAUACCCGCUGAACUUAAGCAUAUCAUA